GCUCAGGACGAACGCUGGCGGCGUGCUUAACACAUGCAAGUCGAACGAUGAAGCCCUUCGGGGUGGAUUAGUGGCGAACGGGUGAGUAACACGUGGGCAAUCUGCCCUUCACUCUGGGACAAGCCCUGGAAACGGGGUCUAAUACCGGAUAUCACUCUCGCAGGCAUCUGUGAGGGUCGAAAGCUCCGGCGGUGAAGGAUGAGCCCGCGGCCUAUCAGCUUGUUGGUGAGGUAAUGGCUCACCAAGGCGACGACGGGUAGCCGGCCUGAGAGGGCGACCGGCCACACUGGGACUGAGACACGGCCCAGACUCCUACGGGAGGCAGCAGUGGGGAAUAUUGCACAAUGGGCGAAAGCCUGAUGCAGCGACGCCGCGUGAGGGAUGACGGCCUUCGGGUUGUAAACCUCUUUCAGCAGGGAAGAAGCGAAAGUGACGGUACCUGCAGAAGAAGCGCCGGCUAACUACGUGCCAGCAGCCGCGGUAAUACGUAGGGCGCAAGCGUUGUCCGGAAUUAUUGGGCGUAAAGAGCUCGUAGGCGGCUUGUCACGUCGGGUGUGAAAGCCCGGGGCUUAACCCCGGGUCUGCAUUCGAUACGGGCUAGCUAGAGUGUGGUAGGGGAGAUCGGAAUUCCUGGUGUAGCGGUGAAAUGCGCAGAUAUCAGGAGGAACACCGGUGGCGAAGGCGGAUCUCUGGGCCAUUACUGACGCUGAGGAGCGAAAGCGUGGGGAGCGAACAGGAUUAGAUACCCUGGUAGUCCACGCCGUAAACGGUGGGAACUA
rnacentral:rRNA from 1 species